rnacentral:rRNA from 1 species
CACGUAGUUAGCCGGUGCUUCUUAUACAGGUACCGUCACUUACGCUUCGUCCCUGUCGAAAGGAGUUUACAACCCGAAGGCCGUCAUCCCCCACGCGGCGUCGCUGCAUCAGGCUUCCGCCCAUUGUGCAAUAUUCCCCACUGCUGCCUCCCGUAGGAGUCUGGGCCGUAUCUCAGUCCCAAUGUGGCCGUACACCCUCUCAGGCCGGCUACCCGUCGACGCCUUGGUAGGCCAUUACCCCACCAACAAGCUGAUAGGCCGCGAGCUCAUCUUGCACCGAAAAAACUUUCCAACCACCACACUAAAAGUGGCUCAUAUCCGGUAUUAGACCCAGUUUCCCAAGCUUAUCCCAGAGUGCAAGGCAGAUCACCCACGUGUUACUCACCCGUUCGCCACUCGAGUACCAGUGCAAGCACUGGCCUUUCCGUUCGACUUGCAUGUGUUAAGCACGCCGCCAGCGUUCGUCCUCGAGCCAGGAUCAAACUCUA